rnacentral:rRNA from 1 species
AGAGUUUGAUCAUGGCUCAGAUUGAACGCUGGCGGCAGGCCUAACACAUGCAAGUCGAGCGGUAGCACAGAGAGCUUGCUCUCGGGUGACGAGCGGCGGACGGGUGAGUAAUGUCUGGGAAACUGCCUGAUGGAGGGGGAUAACUACUGGAAACGGUAGCUAAUACCGCAUAACGUCGCAAGACCAAAGUGGGGGACCUUCGGGCCUCAUGCCAUCAGAUGUGCCCAGAUGGGAUUAGCUAGUAGGUGGGGUAACGGCUCACCUAGGCGACGAUCCCUAGCUGGUCUGAGAGGAUGACCAGCCACACUGGAACUGAGACACGGUCCAGACUCCUACGGGAGGCAGCAGUGGGGAAUAUUGCACAAUGGGCGCAAGCCUGAUGCAGCCAUGCCGCGUGUGUGAAGAAGGCCUUCGGGUUGUAAAGCACUUUCAGCGGGGAGGAAGGCGGUAAGGUUAAUAACCUCAUCGAUUGACGUUACCCGCAGAAGAAGCACCGGCUAACUCCGUGCCAGCAGCCGCGGUAAUACGGAGGGUGCAAGCGUUAAUCGGAAUUACUGGGCGUAAAGCGCACGCAGGCGGUCUGUCAAGUCGGAUGUGAAAUCCCCGGGCUCAACCUGGGAACUGCAUUCGAAACUGGCAGGCUAGAGUCUUGUAGAGGGGGGUAGAAUUCCAGGUGUAGCGGUGAAAUGCGUAGAGAUCUGGAGGAAUACCGGUGGCGAAGGCGGCCCCCUGGACAAAGACUGACGCUCAGGUGCGAAAGCGUGGGGAGCAAACAGGAUUAGAUACCCUGGUAGUCCACGCCGUAAACGAUGUCGAUUUGGAGGUUGUGCCCUUGAGGCGUGGCUUCCGGAGCUAACGCGUUAAAUCGACCGCCUGGGGAGUACGGCCGCAAGGUUAAAACUCAAAUGAAUUGACGGGGGCCCGCACAAGCGGUGGAGCAUGUGGUUUAAUUCGAUGCAACGCGAAGAACCUUACCUGGUCUUGACAUCCACAGAACUUUCCAGAGAUGGAUUGGUGCCUUCGGGAACUGUGAGACAGGUGCUGCAUGGCUGUCGUCAGCUCGUGUUGUGAAAUGUUGGGUUAAGUCCCGCAACGAGCGCAACCCUUAUCCUUUGUUGCCAGCGGUUCGGCCGGGAACUCAAAGGAGACUGCCAGUGAUAAACUGGAGGAAGGUGGGGAUGACGUCAAGUCAUCAUGGCCCUUACGACCAGGGCUACACACGUGCUACAAUGGCAUAUACAAAGAGAAGCGACCUCGCGAGAGCAAGCGGACCUCAUAAAGUAUGUCGUAGUCCGGAUUGGAGUCUGCAACUCGACUCCAUGAAGUCGGAAUCGCUAGUAAUCGUAGAUCAGAAUGCUACGGUGAAUACGUUCCCGGGCCUUGUACACACCGCCCGUCACACCAUGGGAGUGGGUUGCAAAAGAAGUAGGUAGCUUAACCUUCGGGAGGGCGCUUACCACUUUGUGAUUCAUGACUGGGGUGAAGUCGUAACAAGGUAACCGUAGGGGAACCUGCGGUUGGAUCACCU